AUUGAACGCUGGCGGCAGGCUUAACACAUGCAAGUCGAGCGGGGUGAUGGUGCUUGCACUAUCACUUAGCGGCGGACGGGUGAGUAAUGCUUGGGAAUCUGCCUAUUAGUGGGGGACAACAUCUCGAAAGGGAUGCUAAUACCGCAUACGUCCUACGGGAGAAAGCAGGGGAUCACUUGUGACCUUGCGCUAAUAGAUGAGCCUAAGUCGGAUUAGCUAGUUGGUGGGGUAAAGGCCUACCAAGGCGACGAUCUGUAGCGGGUCUGAGAGGAUGAACCGCCAAACUGGGACUGAGACACGGCCCAGACUCCUACGGGAGGCAGCAGUGGGGAAUAUUGGACAAUGGGGGGAACCCUGAUCCAGCCAUGCCGCGUGUGUGAAGAAGGCCUUAUGGUUGUAAAGCACUUUAAGCGAGGAGGAGGCUCUUUUGGUUAAUACCCAAGAUGAGUGGACGUUACUCGCAGAAUAAGCACCGGCUAACUCUGUGCCAGCAGCCGCGGUAAGAC
rnacentral:rRNA from 1 species